UACGGAGGGGGCAAGCGUUGUUCGGAAUUACUGGGCGUAAAGGGCGCGCAGGCGGCUGCUCAAGUCAGGCGUGAAAGGCCUGGGCUCAACCCGGGAAUUGCGCUUGAGACUGGGCUGGCUUGAGUGCGGGAGAGGAUGGUGGAAUUCCCAGUGUAGAGGUGAAAUUCGUAGAUAUUGGGAAGAACACCGGUGGCGAAGGCGGCUCACUGGCUCGUAUCUGACGCUCAGGCGCGACAGCGUGGGGAUCAAACAGG
rnacentral:rRNA from 1 species